rnacentral:pre_miRNA from 12 species
UCAUCAAAAUCUUAAGCAAAGCCUGUGCGCCUUGGCACUGGAAGAAUUCACAGAUAUUUUUGAAAUCGUGGAUCUCCCUGUGCCAAAGCAUACGGCAACGUCACCCAAGAAGUACGUCC